GGAUGAAGGUGUAACAAAAUUUAAACUUUUAUUUAUAUGUAGCUGUAAUUUGUAUUUUGGGUAAAAAUACUCAAAUAAAUUUAAGGGACGAUAAGACCCUAUAAGCUUUAUGUAUUUCAAUAUAUUUAACUGGGGUAGUUUACUUAAUAACUCUAAGUGAAGUUAAAAAUAUAAAAAGGUCCAUUUAAAUUAUGAUGGAUUAAGUUAGUUACUUUAGGGUUAACAGCACAAUAAUUUUGAAGAGACCUUAUCUAUAAAAUUGAUUAUGACCUCGAUGUUGAAUUAAAAUGUCUCUAUAAAGCAGCGUUUAUAGUAGAGGGUUUGUUCAACCUAUAAAUUUUUACAUGAUUU
rnacentral:rRNA from 1 species